AGGAUUUUAGUUAAUUUAUAACAUUUAAAUUGCAUUUAAAAAUUAUAUCUAUUUAUAUUCAAUAUAUAAAUCUUA
rnacentral:tRNA from 1 species